CCUACGGGGGGCAGCAGUGAGGAAUAUUGGUCAAUGGACGAGAGUCUGAACCAGCCAAGUAGCGUGAAGGAAGACGGCCCUAUGGGUUGUAAACUGCUUUUAUACGGGAAUAAAACAGGGUAGGCAGACCCUCUUGAAGGUACCAUAGGAAUAAGGAUCGGCUAACUCCGUGCCAGCAGCCGCGGUAAUACGGAGGAUCCGAGCGUUAUCCGGAUUUAUGGGGUUUAAAGGGUGCGUAGGUGGCUUGUUAAGUCAGUGGUGAAAGUUUCCGGCUCAACCGUCAAAUUGCCUUUGAUACUGGCAGUCUUGAGUACAGUUGCGGUAGGCGGACUUUGUGGUGUAGCGG
rnacentral:rRNA from 1 species